CUUCAGUUAUUUUAUCUGGUACGUUGGUUCCUAAUCGAUUUUCUUUCCCUUAAACUAGAUGAUCAAACUGAUUACUUUCACGAUUGGUGGCCAUGGGUAUCUGAACUUCAUGGGGGAACGAAUUCGGGCAUCCAAAAAGGAUUGAGGUUCCAUGGCAA